AAAGAGAAACGAGAAAAAGAAAAGAAAUAUAUAUAUUUUUUUAUUAGAUAAUUGUUAUUGAUAUUUGAAUUCUCUUCAUUGUCAUACUAGUGAUAUGAUGCCGAUAUGGAGUACAGAAGGCCCGAUGAACUUGAAUCUUCGAGAUAUGGAAGUGGAUGCAAAGUUGGUUCCGACAGAAAGAAGAUUUAGUCCUUAUGAUUUUAAUGGA
rnacentral:ribozyme from 1 species